rnacentral:lncRNA from 1 species
GGCAUAUGGUCUAAAAUCACGAUGCAGGUGGGGUGAUAUAUAUAGUGCAUCUGGGACAGAUAAGAAAAAGAUAAUGCUAAUUCCUGAGGAUGGGGUAGCAACAGAAGGAAUGGAGAAGCUCCACUAUGAAGUGAUUAUAGAGGCUAUAUGUAAAGAUUUCUCUUGUGACUGCUUUUGAGGAAAAAUAAAGAAGAAAUAAGGAAUAGCAAUAGUAAAAGCAAGUCAUCUCUAAAGUACAGAGGCCAAUCUUCUCCGUCACUCGGGGCAGCUGUCCCUACCCAUGCACACCCAUGUGAGGGCCAUCUGUGGGCUGGCCUGAAGCCACUUGUCCUGCUGGAAGAUACGUUCCCAUCUCCUUGAACAUACAGCAACUGCUUUAAAAUAAGAGCCUUCCAUUUGCUUGCUUCAAAGGAGCAAUUUCUUGGCUGCCUCGUUUCUAACCCUGUUG